rnacentral:misc_RNA from 1 species
GGUGGGUGGGCAAUAGCUUUGCCUAAGAGUUACGAACACACUUUUUCCUUUGACAAUGAUAAGCUUGCCGUUGAGGUUUGAGUUUGUACUUCUUAAUUCUUGAAUUAUGUCUCAGAUUCUCUAUUUUUAAACUUCAUUUAAAGAAGGAGUUCUUCACUUUUUAUAUGAACUUGGAUGGCUAUUCUAAUUUAGAAAAGUGUCUUCUAUGUUUGGCUUUUAGAUUAUUCACUUAGCUUAUUAAAGUUUUUCCUCAUUUUCUUAGUUGAAAAAGGCCAUAGUAUGUUGGUCAAAAUAAUUUUUGAUAUGCUGAUAGAAAGAAAUUUGGAUGUUAGAGGGCUAUCCAAAGAGUCAUUGGAGAUGCUGUCUGAGAUGUUGCUUGAGAACGAGCUAUCAAAAGGAGAUGUAGGACUUGCUUAUCUAUUAUUCCAUUAAUAACAGUAAUGUUUCCUCUAAAAAA